AACACAUGCAAGUCGAACGGAGUUAUUUUCUUCACUCCGAGCUUUUUGCCGGUUAGCCGGAGCGGCAAUCGGUUUUGCCCAGCAUAAAAAGCAAAACCGAUUGAGGCUCAUAAAGUAAGACUAACACAGAGGGCAGAGAGUUGGGAGUGAAGAAAAUAACUUAGUGGCGAACGGGUGAGUAACGCGUGAGUAACCUGCCCUGGAGUGGGGGACAACAGUUGGAAACGACUGCUAAUACCGCAUAAGCCCACGGCCCGGCAUCGGGCUGCGGGAAAAGGAUUUAUUCGCUUCAGGAUGGACUCGCGUCCAAUUAGCUAGUUGGUGAGGUAAUGGCCCACCAAGGCGACGAUUGGUAGCCGGACUGAGAGGUUGAACGGCCACAUUGGGACUGAGACACGGCCCAGACUCCUACGGGAGGCAGCAGUGGGGGAUAUUGCACAAUGGGGGAAACCCUGAUGCAGCGACGCCGCGUGGAGGAAGAAGGUUUUCGGAUUGUAAACUCCUGUCGUUAGGGACGAUAAUGACGGUACCUAACAAGAAAGCACCGGCUAACUACGUGCCAGCAGCCGCGGUAAAACGUAGGGUGCAAGCGUUGUCCGGAAUUACUGGGUGUAAAGGGAGCGCAGGCGGACCGGCAAGUUGGAAGUGAAAACUAUGGGCUCAACCCAUAAAUUGCUUUCAAAACUGCUGGCCUUGAGUAGUGCAGAGGUAGGUGGAAUUCCCGGUGUAGCGGUGGAAUGCGUAGAUAUCGGGAGGAACACCAGUGGCGAAGGCGACCUACUGGGCACCAACUGACGCUGAGGCUCGAAAGCAUGGGUAGCAAACAGGAUUAGAUACCCUGGUAGUCCAUGCCGUAAACGAUGAUUACUAGGUGUUGGAGGAUUGACCCCUUCAGUGCCGCAGUUAAAACAAUAAGUAAUCCACCUGGGGAGUACGACC
rnacentral:rRNA from 1 species